UCCCACCCUCCUGUUCCCAGCCAGCACUCUCCUUCCCUCCUCCCCUCUCAGGGUAUUGCCAAGUCCGCAGGUUUCCCGCUGUGACCUUGACGGCUUUGGGGAGCCCGGCUCUGACUUAAAGGAGCUGACAUCAGGCGCUGUAGAUGGAGAAAUUGAAGGGAAGAAAGGUUCAGGGUCAUGUCUGGGAUCACACAAUUGACAAUGUCCAGAUCUCUAUAUCCAGCCUAAAUCAUUCUACUGAGCUACAGUCAUACAUCUCCAGUUGACUCUUGGAUUAUCUUGAGCCAACUGUCCCUUAGGCAUCUCAAAUUCAUCCCUCUAAGAAUAGAAUUCAUUAUCUUGCUCUCUCCCCCUUCCAAACUUUUCUAUCUCUGUCAAGAAUGCCUUUUCUUGUCCCAAUCACCCAGGCUCACAAGCUCUGCCACCUUUGUUCCUUACUGUCUUACUCCACAAAAACAAACCAUUGCAAAAUCUUGUCAUUUCUACCUUAACAGCAUCAUCUUAUAUGUCCCCUUUUUCUCACUCCCACAACCACCACCACCUCACACCUGAACUACUCCAAUAGGCUUUUAAUUGAUCUCUCUGCUUUAAGUCUCUCUUCUCUUCGAUGCAUCCUCCCCUCAGCAGCCAAGGUGAUUUAUCUAAAGUGUUAGUCUAGCCAUGUCACCCAGCCCUGAUCAAUGAGCUCUAAGUGGCUCCUUAUUAUCUUCAGGAUCAAAUAUAAAAUAUAAAAUCCUGCAUUUGGCAUUGAAAGCUCUUCAUAACCUGGCACCUUCCCACCUUUCUAGCCUUCUUCUGCUUUACUCCCUUCCACUCACUCUGCCCCACUCACACAUGACUCCCUUCCUGGUCUUUGCCCUGCUCUGCCCCAUUCUUGAACUGCUCUGUACUCUCACCUUUGCCUCUUCGUUUCCCAGAUUUCCUUCAAAGCUCAAUUAAAAACCCACGUUUCUUUGUUCUUUCCUCAUCUCAGCCUUCCCUUGUGCCUUCCCUUCUGAGAUUUUUUUCCAUUGACUGUAUAUAUCUGACAUGUAGAAAACAUUUAAUAAAUGCUUGUUAACUGA